UACGGGGGGAGCAAGCGUUGUUCGGAUUUACUGGGCGUAAAGGGCGCGUAGGCGGCCACCGCAAGUCGGUUGUGAAAUCUCCGGGCUUAACCCGGAAAGGUCAACUGAUACUGUGCGACUAGAGUGCAGAAGGGGCAACUGGAAUUCUCGGUGUAGCGGUGAAAUGCGUAGAUAUCGAGAGGAACACCUGCGGCGAAGGCGGGUUGCUGGGCUGACACUGACGCUGAUGCGCGAAAGCCAGGGGAGCGAACGGG
rnacentral:rRNA from 1 species